GUGAGUGGCGAACUGGUGAGUAACACGUGGGAAACCUGCCCAGAAGCGGGGGAUAACACCUGGAAACAGAUGCUAAUACCGCAUAACAACUUGGACCGCAUGGUCCGAGUUUGAAAGAUGGCUUCGGCUAUCACUUUUGGAUGGUCCCGCGGCGUAUUAGCUAGAUGGUGGGGUAACGGCUCACCAUGGCAAUGAUACGUAGCCGACCUGAGAGGGUAAUCGGCCACAUUGGGACUGAGACACGGCCCAAACUCCUACGGGAGGCAGCAGUAGGGAAUCUUCCACAAUGGACGAAAGUCUGAUGGAGCAACGCCGCGUGAGUGAAGAAGGGUUUCGGCUCGUAAAACUCUGUUGUUAAAGAAGAACAUAUCUGAGAGUAACUGUUCAGGUAUUGACGGUAUUUAACCAGAAAGCCACGGCUAACUACGUGCCAGCAGCCGCGGUAAUACGUAGGUGGCAAGCGUUGUCCGGAUUUAUUGGGCGUAAAGCGAGCGCAGGCGGUUUUUUAAGUCUGAUGUGAAAGCCUUCGGCUCAACCGAAGAAGUGCAUCGGAAACUGGGAAACUUGAGUGCAGAAGAGGACAGUGGAACUCCAUGUGUAGCGGUGAAAUGCGUAGAUAUAUGGAAGAACACCAGUGGCGAAGGCGGCUGUCUGGUCUGUAACUGACGCUGAGGCUCGAAAGUAUGGGUAGCAAACAGGAUUAGAUACCCUGGUAGUCCAUACCGUAAACGAUGAAUGCUAAGUGUUGGAGGGUUUCCGCCCUUCAGUGCUGCAGCUAACGCAUUAAGCAUUCCGCCUGGGGAGUACGGCCGCAAGGCUGAAACUCAAAGGAAUUGACGGGGGCCCGCACAAGCGGUGGAGCAUGUGGUUUAAUUCGAAGCUACGCGAAGAACCUUACCAGGUCUUGACAUACUAUGCAAAUCUAAGAGAUUAGACGUUCCCUUCGGGGACAUGGAUACAGGUGGUGCAUGGUUGUCGUCAGCUCGUGUCGUGAGAUGUUGGGUUAAGUCCCGCAACGAGCGCAACCCUUAUUAUCAGUUGCCAGCAUUAAGUUGGGCACUCUGGUGAGACUGCCGGUGACAAACCGGAGGAAGGUGGGGAUGACGUCAAAUCAUCAUGCCCCUUAUGACCUGGGCUACACACGUGCUACAAUGGAUGGUACAACGAGUUGCGAACUCGCGAGAGUAAGCUAAUCUCUUAAAGCCAUUCUCAGUUCGGAUUGUAGGCUGCAACUCGCCUACAUGAAGUCGGAAUCGCUAGUAAUCGCGGAUCAGCAUGCCGCGGUUGAAUACGUUCCCGGGGCCUUGUACACACCGCCCGUCACACCAU
rnacentral:rRNA from 1 species